UAGAAGCUUGCUUCUAUGACGUUAGCCGGCGGACGGGUGAGUAACACGUGGGCAACCUGCCUGUAAGACUGGGAUAACUUCGGGAAACCGAAGCUAAUACCGGAUAGGAUCUUCUCCUUCAUGGGAGAUGAUUGAAAGAUGGUUUCGGCUAUCACUUACAGAUGGGCCCGCGGUGCAUUAGCUAGUUGGUGAGGUAACGGCUCACCAAGGCAACGAUGCAUAGCCGACCUGAGGAGGGUGAUCGGCCACACUGGGACUGAGACACGGCCCAGACUCCUACGGGAGGCAGCAGUAGGGAAUCUUCCGCAAUGGACGAAAGUCUGACGGAGCAACGCCGCGUGAGUGAUGAAGGCUUUCGGGUCGUAAAACUCUGUUGUUAGGGAAGAACAAGUACAAGAGUAACUGCUUGUACCUUGACGGUACCUAACCAGAAAGCCACGGCUAA
rnacentral:rRNA from 1 species